rnacentral:rRNA from 1 species
GACGAACGCUGGCGGCGUGCUUAACACAUGCAAGUCGAACGGAAAGGCCCUGCUUUUGUGGGGUGCUCGAGUGGCGAACGGGUGAGUAACACGUGAGUAACCUGCCCUUGACUUCGGGAUAACUUCAGGAAACUGGGGCUAAUACCGGAUAGGAGCUCCUGCUGCAUGGUGGGGGUUGGAAAGUUUCGGCGGUUGGGGAUGGACUCGCGGCUUAUCAGCUUGUUGGUGGGGUAGUGGCUUACCAAGGCUUUGACGGGUAGCCGGCCUGAGAGGGUGACCGGCCACAUUGGGACUGAGAUACGGCCCAGACUCCUACGGGAGGCAGCAGUGGGGAAUAUUGCACAAUGGGCGGAAGCCUGGUGCAGCAACGCCGCGUGCGGGAUGACGGCCUUCGGGUUGUAAACCGCUUUCGCCUGUGACGAAGCGUGAGUGACGGUAAUGGGUAAAGAAGCACCGGCUAACUACGUG